AGGGGGCUAGCGUUGCUCGGAAUCACUGGGCGUAAAGCGCACGUAGGCGGAUCUUUAAGUCAGGGGUGAAAUCCCAAGGCUCAACCUUGGAACUGCCUUUGAUACUGGGGAUCUCGAGUCCGGAAGAGGUGAGUGGAACUGCGAGUGUAGAGGUGAAAUUCGUAGAUAUUCGCAAGAACACCAGUGGCGAAGGCGGCUCACUGGUCCGGUACUGACGCUGAGGUGCGAAAGCGUGGGGAGCAAACAGG
rnacentral:rRNA from 1 species